rnacentral:tRNA from 1 species
GCUAGAAUAGCUCAAUUGGCAGAGCAGUUGAUUUGUAAUCAACAGGUUGUGGGUUCGAGUCCCACCUCUAGCUUCA